CUUGCACAAAUAGUUGACUGAGUGGCGACGGGUGAGUAACGCGUGAGCGACCUACCUUAAAGAGGGGGACAACAGUUGGAAACGACUGCUAAUACCGCAUAAGACCACAAUGCUGCAUGGCAAAGGGGUCAAAGGAGCAAUCCGCUUUAAGAUGGGCUCGCGUCCCAUUAGGCAGUUGGUGAGGUAACGGCUCACCAAGCCGACGAUGGGUAGCCGACCUGAGAGGGUGAUCGGCCACACUGGAACUGAGACACGGUCCAGACUCC
rnacentral:rRNA from 1 species